GUAGGUAGAGUAUACCAAGGGGCGCGAGAUAACUCUCUCUAAGGAACUCGGCAAAAUGACUCCGUAACUUCGGGAGAAGGAGUGCCUUAUUUAUAAGGUUGCAAUAACAAGAUCCAAGCAACUGUUUAUCAAAAACACAGGUCUCCGCUAAGUCGUAAGACGAUGUAUGGGGGCUGACGCCUGCCCAGUGCCAGAAGGUUAAAGAAGUUGGUUAGUUUCGGCGAAGCUGAUAACUGAAGCCCUGGUGAACGGCGGCCGUAACUAUAACGGUCCUAAGGUAGCGAAAUUCCUUGUCGGGUAAGUUCCGACCCGCACGAAAGGCGUAAUGAUUUGGAUACUGUCUCGGAGAGGGGCUCGGUGAAAUAGACUUGUCUGUGAAGAUGCGGACUACCUGCACCUGGACAGAAAGACCCUAUGAAGCUUUACUGUAACUUGAGAUUGAAAUUGGACUUUAUUUGCGCAGUAUAGGUGGGAGACGUUGAGAAUAUUCUUGCGGGAGUAUUGGAGUCAUCAGUGAGAUACCACUCUUGUAAUGUUAGAUUUCUAACUUUGUAUCAUUAUCUGGUCAAAGGACAGUUUCAGGCGGGCAGUUUGACUGGGGCGGUCGCCUCCUAAAGGGUAACGGAGGCGCACAAAGGUUUCCUCUGAACGUGUAGAAAUCGUAUCUAGAGUGUAAAGGCAUAAGGAAGCUUGACUGUGAGACCUACAAGUCGAGCAGGGACGAAAGUCGGUCUUAGUGACCUGACGGUGCUGAGUGGAAAGGCCGUCACUCAACGGAUAAAAGUUACUCUAAGGAUAACAGGCUGACCUCCCCCAAGAGUUCACAUCGACGGGGAGGUUUGGCACCUCGAUGUCGGCUCAUCGCAUCCUGGGGCGGUAGUACGUCCCAAGGGUUGGGCUGUUCGCCCAUAAAAGCGGUACGCGAGCUGGGUUCAGAACGUCGUGAGACAGUUCGGUCCAUAUCCGGUGUAGGCGUUAGAAUAUUGAGAGGAGCCUUCUUUAGUACGAGAGGACCGAGAAGGACAUACCUCUGGUCUACCAGUUAUCGUGCCAACGGUAAACGCUGGGUAGCUAUGUAUGGAGUGGAUAACCGCUGAAAGCAUCUAAGUGGGAAGCCCACCUCAAGAUAAGUAUUCUCAUCACGUAAGUGAGUAAGGUCACGGUAAGACUAACCGUUUGAUAGGCAUUAAGUGUAAAUCUAGUAAUAGAUGAGCUGAGAUGUCCUAACAGACCGAGGAC
rnacentral:rRNA from 1 species